UAUCGCGAGGAUGUCAUUGCUUUAAAUGCCGGGGACAACCGUACUGUUUGUCUUUAAUACUGAAGGCUUCAGGUCAUAUGCUUACAAUAAAAACUAGCUACUAUGCUCACAUAACCUUUUAUAGACAGAAUAGCCUGUCAACAUUUUGGCCAACAGUAACAUUUGUUGAAGGAAUAAUGGUUAGCUGCCUUCAUUCAGGCAAUGAACGAUUUACCUUGUCAGGUGCUGGUGCUAUCAGAGCGUUAAGCUAGCUAUUCAUUAUACCCUACAUACACUUGCACCUGGGGUCGUGGUGAUUUCACUUAUUUUUGUGAGAUCAGGUUGAAUUAUUCUCUCCUGGGACCAUUGCAACGGUGUUCCUUAACAAUUGUUUGCUGCUUCGACACAACACCGUGCAUGACUUCUUCACUUCGGCAGGGUUGGCUGGGGCUUCCAGUGGCAUUUGCUGUGAGGUUUCCCUGGAUUUGGUAUGCAGCCUGAUCGAACAAGUCCAGGUAGUCCUCCACUGGAUAACGGUCAUGAAAGCCCUCGCUCAGACGGAUGAUACCUGGUGGAGGAAGAAGACCGGUAUGGGGAUUUUUUUUGCUUUCAGUCUGGUCCUGAGCAGUUGAAACAUGAUCAGUUGGAUUGAGGUCAGACCACUGACUUGGCCAGUCCGGAACAUUCCACUGUGUGGCCACAAGAAACUCUAACUUGAAUCAUUGUCCCGUGCACUGCACUAAAAAGAGCUUUUAGUUCUUUACCAAGUAUGGAUGCGGACACUCU